rnacentral:lncRNA from 1 species
GAGACCCUUAUCAAGGAGCUUGACUGUGUUAGGAAGAUUUUUAGGAGAAGCGAUGAUUUUAAAGGCCGCGAACUGCAUAUUAAGGCUGAGGAGAUUAUCUCCAAGCUUGGAAGCCAAAUGAUGUCUCCCUCAGAUGCCUGCAAUUUCAUUAUUCAGUUCUUUAACUGUAAGUCCCCAAGAUUUUCGUCUUUCCUUUUCUAUUUCAACUUUCAUAUUUAUUCAUUUACUUGCUAUUUGUUGUUAGCCCUCAUUGUAAUUAGCUGAAAUUUUAAAAUGCAUGUCUUGGACAGUGAGUAUGGUUCUCUCAUGGAGCAUGAACUGCCUUGCUCAUAAACUUGGCUUAUUCCUUCCAUGUUGGGAAUGAUCUCUUAUAACUACUGUAAUGAAAUUAUAGGGAGGGCUAGGGUCAGACUCCACCCAAAUAUAAGUGGAGGAGAAAAAUGUGGUGAGGUGAAAGAAAGAGUACGUGGGAACAGUAAAGGGGACCUUGAUUGGGUACUCUAUGGCUCAUAUUCGAUGGCUAGUGUAAUUGGAACUAUUUUGAAAAGAAUACUCUCUGAAUUGCUUAAUUGAGGAUUGUGACGGCUUCACCGCACGUUAGCUACUCUUUUGUUUUCUCUCUGGCCUUUUUUCUUCUUUCCUUUUGGUUUCACUGUCAAUUCAUCUCCAUACCGCCUGAGUUUAGAUAUUGUGAAAGGUUUUUCUUGUGAGAAGUUGAUAAUGUCCAAGAAUUGUGUAUAUUUUUGUUCUAACAUGUCUGUAACUUAAGUAUAUGAGUUAUUCAGUAUCUAUUCAUGCCUAACUCUGGAUUUUUUUUUUCGUUGUUAAAUAGAUACAGAUGGAGUGUCAGAAUAUCCUGCUUCUCGCAUAUCCACGAAAGAGUUGGCAGUCACUCAAGCUAGCCUGAGAAAAGAUGCAACUCCUUUUUCACAAUCCGCUUCUUUACCUCCGAAAUAUGCUGCUUAUAACACAAGUUCUAGUAUACAAUGUGAUUUAUUGUCAAAUGAUACCCGUCAGAAUGACCUCAAAUCAUCCCUCAUAAGCAACGAGGAUGAGUUCCAGUUCGGAACAUUACCAAAAAUAGAUGGGUUUGAGAGCUUGGAAAGCAUAGUGAGGAUAAAGGAAGCAGAAGCAAGAAUGUUCCAGGGCAAGGCAGAUGAAGCGCGGAGAGAGGCAGAAGGGUACCGUCAGAUGAUUCAAACAAAGACGGAUAAGUUGGAGGAAGAGUAUGCUAAAAAGUUUUCCAAACUGUGUCUGCAAGAGACAGAGGAAAGGCGAAGGAAGAAAUUGGAGGAGCUGAAAAUUUUGGAAAGUUCACAUUGUGACUAUUACAACAUGAAGACUAGGAUGCAAGCCGAGAUUGCUGGCUUGUUGGAGAGAAUGGAAGCAACAAAGCAGCAACGGGUGUAGUUUCUUUUGUUCUUUGAUUUUUUUGUUUCUUUUGACAAUGG